ACCUCUAUAUAUUCUCUCUUUAUUUAGGGUAUAGAUAAUGUUUAUUAUGAGACUGAAUACAGAAGAGAAUGGUGCACCAGCAAGGGGAAACCCUCAACAUGCUUCCUUUUUGCAAGGAAAUUCACGAGGCCUGCUGCUCUACGACUUCUUAAUAUGUCUGCUUUAGGAGUUUCGAUUGAAGCAAGAAGCUAAAGCUGACAUAUAUUGGUGCAGUUAAUAGCCAUUGUAAGUUCAAUUUCAGGUAGAAGACAACUUAGGAUUAACCAAACUGUCAUGGAUGAAAGAGACUUGUAAAAGGGGGGAGAAGAAUUAUUUAAUGUAGAGUGGUGUAUAUCAUAUUACUGUUGUUGUACCAUGUAAUAAAGGUGAUUGUAUUGAUAUAUGUUUUACUUCAUUUGUUGGGAAAUGAAAAUCCACAUCUUUUGGAAGUCAAA